rnacentral:rRNA from 1 species
GUGAGGAAUAUUGGUCAAUGGGCGAGAGCCUGAACCAGCCAAGUCGCGUGAAGGAAGAAGGAUCUAUGGUUCGUAAACUUCUUUUGCAGGGGAAUAAAGUGCAGGACGUGUCCUGUUUUGUAUGUACCCUGAGAAUAAGGAUCGGCUAACUCCGUGCCAGCAGCCGCGGUAAUACGGAGGAUCCGAGCGUUAUCCGGAUUUAUUGGGUUUAAAGGGUGCGUAGGUGGUUUGAUAAGUCAGCGGUGAAAGUUUGCAGCUUAACUGUAAAAAUGCCGUUGAAACUGGCGGACUUGAGUGUAAAUGAGGUAGGCGGAAUGCGUGGUGUAGCGGUGAAAUGCAUAGAUAUCACGCAGAACUCCGAUUGCGAAGGCAGCUUACUAAGCUACAACUGACACUGAAGCACGAAAGCGUGGGGAUCAAACAGGAUUAGAUACCCGGGUAGUCC